GGGCUUGUGGUUUAGUGGUAUAAUACUCCCUUAGCACGGCACUUAGGUACUGUAGUUUGGGAGUGGUCCGGGGUUCGAUUCCCCGCGAGUCCA